rnacentral:lncRNA from 1 species
GCCUCAUAACCCUCUUCUCUUUCCUUGCAGACUUUCUCUAGAUUCUGCUUCAGACGCUGCUGGUAGUCAACCAGUUAUCAGAAAUCUGAAAGAUCCACCUCUGUGAACCAUGAAAUACUCUUCAUGCUUCUGUAUAGGUUGCCAUGGUACCUGCUAUUGGCCCCUUUCUCUGCUCUCAUUAUUUCCCUAGUGUGCUUUUCUAAUACAUCAGCAAAGGAAAAGAAUCUGUGCUCGUAAGCAUCUGAUUUCUGAAUCCAUGUGGGUCAAACAUAAAAGUCAGAAA